rnacentral:rRNA from 1 species
CUAGCGACAGGCCUAACACAUGCAAGUCGAGGGGCAGCACAAGGAGCAAUCUGAGGUGGCGACCGGCGCACGGGUGAGUAACACGUAUGCAACCUGCCUGUAAGCGGGGAAUAACCCGUUGAAAGACGGACUAAUACCGCAUAAUACUAAAUUACUGCAUGGUAAUUUAUUUAAACAUUUAUGGCUUACAGAUGGGCAUGCGCAUGAUUAGCUAGUUGGAGAGGUAACGGCUCCCCAAGGCAACGAUCAUUAGGGGUUCUGAGAGGAAGGUCCCCCACACUGGUACUGAGACACGGACCAGACUCCUACGGGAGGCAGCAGUGAGGAAUAUUGGUCAAUGGACGAGAGUCUGAACCAGCCAAGUCGCGUGCAGGAAGAAUGUUCCCUAUGGAUUGUAAACUGCUUUUGCAGGGGAAUAAAGUGCAUCACGUGUGAUGUUUUGUAUGUACUCUGCGAAUAAGGAUCGGCUAACUCCGUGCCAGCCGCCGC